UACGGAGGGUGCGAGCGUUGUCCGGAAUCACUGGGCGUAAAGGGCGCGUAGGCGGCGCGGAUAGUCGGCGGUGAAAGCCCGGAGCUCAACUCCGGGUCGGCCGUCGAUACUUCCGGGCUUGAGCACUGUAGAGGCAGAUGGAAUUCCGGGUGUAGCGGUGGAAUGCGUAGAGAUCCGGAAGAACACCGGUGGCGAAGGCGGUCUGCUGGGCAGUUGGCUGACGCUGAU
rnacentral:rRNA from 1 species